rnacentral:rRNA from 1 species
GACGAACGCUGGCGGCGUGCCUAAUACAUGCAAGUUGAGCGCUGAAGGUUGGUACUUGUACCAACUGGAUGAGCAGCGAACGGGUGAGUAACGCGUGGGGAAUCUGCCUUUGAGCGGGGGACAACAUUUGGAAACGAAUGCUAAUACCGCAUAAAAACUUUAAACACAAGUUUUAAGUUUGAAAGAUGCAAUUGCAUCACUCAAAGAUGAUCCCGCGUUGUAUUAGCUAGUUGGUGAGGUAAAGGCUCACCAAGGCGAUGAUACAUAGCCGACCUGAGAGGGUGAUCGGCCAGAUUGGGACUGAGACACGGCCCAAACUCCUACGGGAGGCAGGAGUAGGGAAUCUUCGGCAAUGGACGAAAGGCUGACCGGGCAAGGCCGCGUGAGUGAAGAAGGUUUUCGGAUCGUAAAACUCUGUUGGUAGAGAAGAACGUUGGUGAGAGUGGAAAGCUCAUCAAGUGACGGUAACUACCCAGAAAGGGACGGCUAACUACGUG